rnacentral:rRNA from 1 species
UCCUGGCUCAGAUUGAACGCUGGCGGCAUGCCUUACACAUGCAAGUCGAACGGUAACAGGUCUUCGGAUGCUGACGAGUGGCGAACGGGUGAGUAAUACAUCGGAACGUGCCCGAUCGUGGGGGAUAACGAGGCGAAAGCUUUGCUAAUACCGCAUACGAUCUACGGAUGAAAGCGGGGGAUCUUCGGACCUCGCGCGGACGGAGCGGCCGAUGGCAGAUUAGGUAGUUGGUGGGAUAAAAGCUUACCAAGCCGACGAUCUGUAGCUGGUCUGAGAGGAUGAUCAGCCACACUGGGACUGAGACACGGCCCAGACUCCUACGGGAGGCAGCAGUGGGGAAUUUUGGACAAUGGGCGAAAGCCUGAUCCAGCCAUGCCGCGUGCAGGAUGAAGGCCUUCGGGUUGUAAACUGCUUUUGUACGGAACGAAAAGC